UUUCCGUAGGUGAACCUGCGGAAGGAUCAUUCAUAGUAAGUGUUUUAUGGCACUUUUUUAAAUCCAUAUCCACCUUGUGUGCAAUGUCAGGGUUGGUCUCUUUUUGAUCAGCCCCAAACAUCAACUAUUAUCUCAACUCUUUGUCUGAAAAAUAUUAUGAAUAAAACAAUUCAAAAUACAACUUUCAACAACGGAUCUCUUGGCUCUC
rnacentral:misc_RNA from 1 species